AUGCACAUGUCCAACUUGAAGGUUAUCAUGGUUGAAAGUAUCAUUUGCAUUGGGUUUCCGCAAGGUUGGUCAUUGAAGGUUAGUCAUUUGAUAAUGUUUAAGGUAUUUUAAUAUUUGGGGUAUUUUAGUAUUAAAUGUAUUUGCAGUUGUGCCACCAAAAUAUAGCGGCUGUUAGGCACUCCACUACCGCACCACACCAAUUUUUGGAUUGACUGUGUGCAUCAAAGCCCUUGGCACUGGGCCACAAACAUAAAAGGGCCUCAAAAGUUAGAGAAAAAGAAAAGGAAGAAAAAAAAUUUGUACCUA
rnacentral:lncRNA from 1 species